rnacentral:rRNA from 1 species
CGUAGGGUGCGAGCGUUAAUCGGAAUUACUGGGCGUAAAGCGUGCGCAGGCGGUUUGUUAAGAUAGGCGUGAAACUCCCCGGGCUCAACCGUGGGAACUGCGCUUAUGACUGGCAAGCUAGAGUACGGCAGAGGGGGUGGAAUUCCACGUGUAGCAGUGAAAUGCGUAGAGAUGUGGAGGAACACCAAUGGCGAAGGCAGCCCCCUGGGUCGAUACUGACGCUCAUGCACGAAAGCGUGGGUAGCAAACAGGAUUAGAUACCCUGGUAGUCCACGCCCUAAACGAUGUCAACUAGGUGUUGGGAGGGUAAAACCUUUUAGUACCGGAGCUAACGCGUGAAGUUGACCGCCUGGGGAGUACGGCCGCAAGGUUA